UACGGGGGGAGCAAGCGUUGUUCGGAUUUACUGGGCGUAAAGGGCGCGUAGGCGGUCGUGACAAGUCACUUGUGAAAUCUCCGGGCUUAACUCGGAACGGUCAAGUGAUACUGUCGGGCUAGAGUCCGGAAGAGGCAAGUGGAAUUCCUGGUGUAGCGGUGAAAUGCGCAGAUAUCAGGAGGAACACCGGUGGCGAAGGCGGGUCUCUGGGCCGAAAUUGACGCUGAGGAGCGAAAGCGUGGGGAGCGAACAGG
rnacentral:rRNA from 1 species